rnacentral:rRNA from 1 species
AGAGUUUGAUCCCGGCUCAGAAUGAACGCUGGCGGCGUGCCUAACACAUGCAAGUCGAGCGAGAAAGUCCCCUUCGGGGGGCGAGUAAAGCGGCGCACGGGUGAGUAACGCGUGGGUAACCUGCCCUUGAGUGGGGGAUAACCAGCCGAAAGGCUGACUAAUCCCGCAUACGACCGGCAGACACAAGUCUGUCGGGGAAAGAUGGCCUCUGCUUGCAAGCUAUCGCUCUUGGAUGGGCCCGCGUUGGAUUAGCUAGUUGGUGGGGUAACGGCCUACCAAGGCUGCGAUCCAUAGCUGGUUUGAGAGGACGACCAGCCACACUGGAACUGAGACACGGUCCAGACUCCUACGGGAGGCAGCAGUGGGGAAUUU